GAAAUAUAUCAUUUAAAAGAAAGCUUCUAACUUUACUUUUUAGUAGUGAAACUCUAUUAAUAUUUCU
rnacentral:tRNA from 1 species